rnacentral:lncRNA from 1 species
UUUAAACAUAUAAUGACUUGAGAAUUUAUUGUUUAUUACGAUAAAAUAUUUUUUAUUGUUAUUAGGAAUACUUAAAAGGGACUUGCGAAAUGUCAUUUUUUAUUAAAAAUAAACUUUGAUUUGCCGUAUCUAAAAUUAGUAAAGCCGGUUUUCUAAAUUAGCAAUAAUACGCCUAUCUACCACAAAUUUAUAUUUAAAGGAUUUCCAAAUUAUUACCUAAUAAGAAACUAACAUUAUUCUAAAGAUAAACUACUAUUUCGUAUUAAAGAAGUAUUAAAAGGAUUCUAACAAACUUGGUAAUUAUUCUAAAGAUAUCUUUUAACCUACAAAUUUUAAAACUUUUAAUGAUGUAAAUUAAAUGUCGAAGUCUAGUGAUUAUGCUAAGUCUAAAAUCUAACGAGCGAAGAGGGAACGAUAAAAAUUCGCUACACAAAAUCACAUAAGAACAUAUAAAAACACAACUUUUAAAUAAUAGUGCACGAAAUAUUAAAUAAAGAAAAGAAAUAAUAAUAACAGGUUUCUAUGGAAGAAGAGUAAAGCUUGAAAAGAAGGAAGGAGGCACUAGACUGCUAGAAGGAGAUACAUAAUGCAAUUUGCUCGCUUCUCUGAUUUGAACAGAGAUGGAGUCAUGCCAUGAGACUCCAAACACACUCCCGAGUGUACAUGAAAAAAUAAGAAAAAUAAAGAUUAGGAGCCAAACUAAUUGUAAGGAAAAUGAACGGAAAGAAAUACGUGCCACAUGAAUAUUCAAAUAUUAAAUUUUAAUAAAACCGCGAAAAUAAAUCAGCAUAUACCUAUUAGGAUCAAACAUUUGGGAAUAAAUAUUUUGGGAUGUAAACAACUUUUGUCUCAUAUAACAGGCAACUCAAUCCAAAUGAACAUGAAAAAGAAAGUAAAUUAACAAGACUUCUAACAAUUCAUCAGGGAAAAACAUACAUUUAAUCCUUGUCAAGGAACACGUGAACCAGCCUCAUAAAAAAAACCUCAUAUCAUAAUAUUCAAACCUGUUAUCCGUCAAACUCCACAGCAACAACAACAACAACAAAAAAUCCAUUGUAUUCCCACAGUGAUAAACAUAAUGAGUUUUGGACAAAAUCAAAUAAAAUACCCUUUCCAUUAAAAACCUUUCAUAGCAUAACUUUUAAUAGAACAUUUUUCCUUAUAUCUCCUAACGUUUUAUAACAAUAUAAUAAUACUUUAAUUAAGCGUAAUCCUUUCUCGGUAAAUAUUUCAAAUAAAGAAGGACACUAGUUUACGGCAAAGCUAUUCAACAUUUGUUAUCUUAUGAAAAGAAAGAAAGAAAGAAUUUAGACUUUUAAAAAAACUUUUCCUUUAAAAAAAAAAAAUCAAUAAAGCUUUAAAAUUAAUUGAUAAAGAAAUGGCAUCCCUUUUAAUGCAAAAAAAGAUAAAGUAAAGCAAUUGUUUGGUUUUUUUUCUUUCAACACCCCUUUUAAUAAAAAAAAAGAUGCAACUAUUUGCCCUUUCUUUCAUGCACCUCUGGUGCCAUAAACGGAACACGUAUCAAUUUUCGAAAAAAAUAAUAUGAGUAUAAUUAAUAUUUUCUUCAUUUUUUAUUUUUAGUUGACCCUCUUUUUAUUUAAAAAAAGUAAUUUGUUUCACAUUACUUGUCCCAAUUGUAAAAUCAAGAUUAUUUUAUACAUAUUUUUCCAUUCUACUCAUAUCAUUACAUGACUAAACAAAUAUACAUACUCAAAGUUAUGUUUUUUUAAAGCAUAAUUAAUAAGGCUAAUUUGAUAAAAAUAAAUUCUAUUAAUUAUUCCUUAAUGAGAGUACUAAGUUCAUAGGGCCAACUAAAAUAAAAUGGAGAGGGUAUUUAGUAUUGAUGAUAGCAUUGAAGAUAUAUUUAAAAUCUCCGCAAUACCAAAAUAAAAUUCCAGGAUGAUAACAACAACAUACCAAGGAAGGCCUAAAAUUAAUUAAUUCAUAAGAAAAGAUCAAAAUGAGGCAAUCUUACUAAAAUAGGAACGACAGCAACAAGAACACCAAAUAAACUCUAAAUAUGAAACUAGAACAUAGAUAUUGGACGAGUUAACAAAAAAAAAUAUUUAAAUAACAUUAAUUCUUAUCAACCAUUUUUACGCAUAGCCAUAAAAGAAAUAGAAUAAGCAAACAGAUCCAGACAGGCAGAGUUGAGAUAAAUGACAAGAAGCUAUAAACAAUCAUAUUUUAUUUCUAAAAAAAACUGAAACAAAAAAUGUGAAGAUGAAGGCGAUUACUGACCUUGUUUGGAGAAACGAACUAGGGCUUCAACUCAAAGACUCGAACUUCAAAUAAACAAGGGAAAAAUAGUAGGCCCCUGGAGAAUUGAUCUCUCUUCACCCUUUUAUUGUGAAGAAGACUCCCUUUUUAAAGGAAAAAGGGCUGUAGCGACUUCUUCAAGUAUCCCAAAAUUCAAAUCAAACGAAAAAAAGAGGAAGAAGGAAAAUGAGCACCAAAGUUUUCCUUUUCAAAGAUUAUGGGCUCUGCAAAAGUCAAAAUUUUUGGUGAACUUUCCGUGAUUGAAGUACGUUUGGUUGAAUUUAAUGUGAAGAGAGGAUUUUUAGGAUUGUGUUGGUCAUAUUGCUGAUGUUGCUGUUAUUUGAUUAUUAACAGCUUGUUUGGAUGGUGGUUUCCCAUGGUAUGGUAUGGUAUGGUAUGGUUACCAUGGGAACCAUGUUGUUUCCAUGAUUUUCUAAAAAUGGUGGUAUGGUGUGUUACUAUUCCAUGGUUUGAUAACCAUGGAAUGAAGCAAUUUAUUGAACCACCAAAUUGGUGGUGUGCCAUGGUUUUCAUUUUUCUUUUCCAACUAUACCCUUAUAUAAUUUUCUUUAAUCCUAUUUUAUCCUUAUCAACAAAAUACAUGCUAAGACUACGCAUUUGUUAACAAGAUCGAAGAUUGCAAGACUUCCUGUUAGCAAUAUAAAAAUUUAAAGAGUGAGAAAAAUGAUCACAGUUAUUUAGUAGUAGUAGUUUUUAAUGCCAAUAAAAACUCAAUUCGAUAAAAAAAAAUUGAAAAUUGAAAUGGAGGAAAAUAGCGUGAAUGCACAAAAAGCAUAUAUAUGGGAAGUGAUUUUUGAACUCUAAGAUACAUACAGGUAUACCAAUUGUUUUAUUGAUUGGGAAGUACUUCCCGAUUACAUUAGUUUGCUUUCGUCAAACCUUUAUUUAGAAAAUACCCUUGUGAAUUUGGUGUCUUAAAAGGAUCAUCGGGUAGCUAUGAGAAGCAUCAAGAAAGAAAGGACAACUGGCUACGCUAGCACUGAUAUGGAUAAAAGAUUUGAUAUCUCAAAUGUAUUACAAUUAGAGGCAUUUUAGUAAAUUUACCUGUUACCAUACCCUACAAUACCAUCAAACCAAACAAAAAAUCUAUUGUUAAACCGUAAUGAACGAUACACUCCAUCUAAACAUGGUACUGCACCAUACCAUACAAUAUCAUACCAUACUACACCAUACCAUACAUUGUAAGGUGAGCUGGGUCAGGGGGUUUGGUUUGGGCUAGUAAAAUGAGUUUUGGGGCUGGUCUUGCUACAUUUUAAGGAGCUAAAUUUAAUUAAAGAAUUUGGCCCAGUCGGAUCAAUGAAUUUAUCUAAUUCUCGUCGAUCCAUUUCAACUUGACUAAUUCAUCGAUGCUUAUUAAUUUUCUCAAUAUAUAUAUAUAUAUAUAUAUAUAUAUAACUAAAAAAAAAUAGUGUAAAUAUUGCAAAACAAUAUAAUAAGAUAGUAAAUAUUAUGUUAAUAUGCUAACAUAUGUUUGUUUAUUCAUUUUUUAAAAAAUAGAAUAAAAUAGUGAAAUGAUAAUUUAAAAUUUAUUUAUUUAUUUAUUUUUGAUUAAAUUUGUGAAGUGCGAUAUUAGUAAAAAAAAAUUCAUUUUCAAACUGUUAACGUUGAAACAUAUUUUGAAGAAGAAAAAAGAAAAAAAAAAAUCAAAAAUUCCAAGCAUCAAGAAAUUAAUUUUAUGAAAAGGAGAGCCAAAAUUGGGUGUCAACAAUAAUACUGAUCAUGUAGGACCAAAACACAGCAGAUUCAUUAUGGAAGCUAUUGUUCCCGAUUGCAGACUGUGGCACCAAAGACUUGGGAACCAAGCUCCUCAGGUUUUAAGAUACUUAGACAUUUUGAUGAAUCACAGUGAUGUAAAUAUGUUGAAUAAAUGCACUGUAUGUCCACUAGCUAAACAGACAAGAAUGUCAUUUCCCAUAAGUACUACUAAAUGUUCUGCAUGUUUUAAACUUGUACACAUGGAUUUAUGGGGUCCUUAUAGAACAUCUACAUUUGAUAAUAAGUGUUAUUUCUUAACUAUGGUGGAUGAUUAUAGUAGAUAUACUUAGGUUCAUCUGUUGCAGCAAAAAUCUGAGACCGUAGUAUCUAUUAAGAGAUUCAUAUCCAUAAUUAGAACACAGUUUGGAGUGGUGAUAAAGGCUAUUAGAUCUGAUAAUGGGACUGAGUUGAUAUUCAAUGUCACACAUUAUUUUAGUCUCUAGGUAUUCUACAUCAGACUAGUUGUCCUCACACUCCACAACAAAAUGGAGUGGUUGAGAUGAAGCACAAGCACAUAUUAAAUAUAGCUAGAGCUCUUAAGUUUUAGUCCCACUUGUGCAUCAAGUAUUAGGGAUUAUGUGUGAAAGCUGCAGUAUAUAUUAUGAACAAGUUACCAACCUCAGUCUUGAGUUGUAAGAGCCCAUAUCAGUUAUUAUUCUCUAAGGAUCCCAAGCUAUCUCAUUUGAGGGUGUUUGGAUAUCUGUGUUAUGUGACUGUUGUCCCUAGAGGUGAAAAGUUCUCUGAAAGAGCUAAACCUGCCAUGUUAGUAGGAUAUUCAGAGUCUCAAAAGGGUUACUUUCUACUGGACAUCCACCCAAAAAGACUAUUAGUGAGUAGGGAAGUUGUGUUUCAUGAAAAUUCAUUCCCCUUUGAUCCAUCACAAGAAAAAUUACAGCAUCCAAAACUAAUGAAGACAUCAAUGACUUUUUGGUAUCCACAGAUGAUGAAGUUGGUACUGAUAUUCGUUUAGAGGAUAUUCACAUUGAUGAUGCUGACUUUGCUGAUGCUGCACAACCUGAUGUACCUUUCUUUGAUGCAAAUUCUGAAGCUGAUUGCCAAGCUGAGCCUUCUCUGACUUAAGCUUCUUCUAAUGUUGCAGUACCUGGUGCUAUUUCACCUGACACCACUCAUAAAGAAAUAUGUCAAUAUGAACAUUCCCUAUCUCAACCCUCUUCCAGUAGACCAACAAGAAAAAGAAGGCCAUCUGUGUGGAUGCAUGAUUAUGUUGACACUUCAAAAACCCAGAGAUGCAAGCAACCCUUAGCCAACAACCAUUCUUAUAGUAAACUAAAACCUGCAUAUUAGUGGUACUUGUUAAACAUCUCCACUCUGACUGAGCCUCAACACUAUAAAAAAGCUAUAAAAUAUGAAAGAUGGGUGAAGCUAUGAAGUUAUAAAUCCAAGCAUUGGAGGCCAAUAACACAUGGACCAUUGUUGACCAGCCCAAAGAAAAGAAAACUAUUGGUUCCAAAUGGAUAUACAAGAUUAAAUAUAUUACAAAUGGUAAAGUGAAAAGGUUCAAAGAAAGAUUAGUGGACAAGGGAUAUAGCCAACAUGAAGGGCUAGAUUAUUAUGAAACAUAUUCACCAGUGGCAAAAAUGGUUACUGUCAGAAGUGUGAUUGUUGUAGCAGUAUCUAGAGGAUGGCCUCUUUAUCAAAUGGAUGUCUAUAAUGCAUUUUUUCAAAGGGAUCUUGAAGAGCAAGUGUGCAUGGAGCUUCCAGAAGGUUUUAGAAGCCAAGGAGAGCACACAAAGUUUGCAAGUUGCUCAAUUCCUUGUAUAGCCUUAAGCAGGCUUCCAAACAAUGGAACCUGAAACUAACUCAUGUUUUGCUUGAUACUGGAUUCACUCAAAGUGCUCAUGACUACUCUCUCUUCAUUCUACAUCAAGGGGAUGAAACAGUAGUAGUUGUUGUAUAUGUUGAUGACCUACUCCUUACUGGAAGCAAUGCAACAUUGAUUGAUGCAACAAAAGCCAAGUUACAUCAGCAUUUCAAGAUGACAGACUUGGGGAAUCUCAAAUGCUUCUUAGGAAUUGAAGUCCUCAAAUCCACUUCAGGGGUGAUAUUAAACAAAAAGAAGUAUUUCCUAGAAUUAAUUUUAGAUGCUGGUCUUAGUGGUUCAAAACUUGCAAUCACUCCCUUAGAAUCCAAUGUAAGGUUAAUAUCACUUGAGUAUGAUCAAGACACAGGUGCACAAGGUGAUGAUUUGUUGUCUAAUGCUUGUUUUUAUCAAAGACUAGUGGGUAAACUCAUGUAUGACAAUAUUACAAGAUCAUAUAUUAGUUUUGUAGUGCACACUCUCAGCCAUUUUAUGCAACAUCCCAAGAGAUCACACUAGGAGGUUGCUAUCAGGGUAGUCAGGUACCUUAAAGGCUCUAUUGGUCAAGGAAUCUGGGUAAAGGCUGAGCAUUAUACCACUCUAACUUGAUGGUGUGACUUAGAUUGGGCUGCUUGUCCCAACACCAGGUGAUCAGUUACUGGUUAUGCAGUUCAUUUUAGUGAAUCUUUAAUUUCUUGGAAGUCCAAGAAAUAGCAUACUAUUUCCAGGAGCUCCGCUGAAGCUGAGUACAGAAGCAUGGCUUCAACAGCUGCAGAGAUAACUUGGUUGGUUGGUUUGUUCCAGGAACUCAAGGUUCCCAUUACCUUGCCCAUAUUAGUCUUUAGUGAAAGCAAUUCAACAAUUCAAUUGGCCAAUAAUCCUAUGAUUCUUGAGAGAACAAAACACAUAGAGAUUGACUGCCAUUUCAUCAGGGACAAGAUCAAAAGUAAACUGAUAAAGCUAUAUAUGUUCACACCGAUGUAUAGGUGGCUGACCUUUUUACCAAGGGACUAAGCCAAGCCAAACAUUCUCAUUUAUUAGGCAAGCUUGGUGUGUAGAAUAUAUUGCACCCUGUAGCUUAAGGGGGCGUGUUUUAACAAUUGAUCCAAGCUCAAAGUAUGAUCUCAAGUUAUGAUACACAUAGCACAGAACCACAGAAAACUAACUGUUCCAUUGGAUGGAAGGUUCUGGAAGCUUCUCAAUUGUUAGUCAGUUAGCAAUAGUACGUUGUUAGAGGUUGUUAGGCAAGUGGUUAGUCAGUUAUGAUGAAUUGUCACUAAGCUGGAAAUGAGGUCACUAUCUUAGCUCAAGUAUAUAAAUAGCUACAAUGUUGUAAUGUGCAGACGAUGAAGAAUAAAAUUUCCAACUACACUCUGUCCUUUCUUCUUCCUUCUUCCUUUUAUUUUUGUGAUCUUUUGCUAUAUAAACAACUCCUCCUCAAAGAAUGAUGAGACAACUUACAAUUUACACACUCUGGAUAAUAAGCUCACGUGAGUCCCUCUAUUCUUAGCCAAGAAUUUAUUUUUAUGCAGAUUUAACUUAUAUACAUUGACAACUUAAAUUUUUUUUUUACAACAAGUGUGUUUUAAUCUGUUGUAGCGGUAACAUGUAAAUUCUUUAUAUAAGCAUCUCAUUUUCCUAUUCCUUUCUUCCCAUAUUAUAGUAUACUAUUCAACAACAACAAUAACAUACCCAGUGUAAUCCCAUAUAGUGGGGUUUGGGGAAAAUAAAGUGUACGCAGAUCAUACCACUACCUCAGGUAAAGUAGAGAGGUUGUAUUAUAGUAUACUAUUCACUAUGGAAAACUCCCAACAACCUCUAGCCACAGAGAAUUUUUCAUAUAGUUGGUUGUUGAAUAGAAAACCAUCCAUUGAUGGCCUAACAGAAUCCCCUAGACCCUCUUAUAGUAGUCAUGAUGAUGCUAAGGAAGAGUUAAAAUUUAUCGCUUAUUUGAAAAGAUUCCUAAAAGAAGAACAAAACUUCAACUUUGAUGUUCAUCCUGUUUCAGACUAUGUUUGUGCUGAUGAAAUCUUCUCUGAUGGAUAUUUCAUGCCUCGAUAUCUUGAUAGAUCAAAGAUUGAAUCUUUUGUGAAGCCUUCAAUAAUUUCAACACAAAUUCAUCAGUACCCUCAACUAGUACUCCUCCCACACCAAUAUCUAAACUUUCAAAUUCCACAACUACUUAAGCUGAUUUUCUUGAAAAAUGGAGAAAGUUUUCGCGCAAAAUCUUGGUUAAGUGGUUUGGAUUCGUAAGGACAAUCUCCAAAAGUAUAACAAGUUCAAGAAAAAGUACUGAAAAAGUUGAUGACCUUCAAAGAAAAGUAAGUGAAAUUCAAAGCUGCAAGAGUACUACUGAUACUUCAUUUCAGGGAUCUCCUCGUUGAAUGUUGAAAUCUUAUUCUGUUGUCAAUUGGUGUGGAAAUGAUAACAACCAAAGAAGAAGUAGUAGUACUAGAAGAGUUAAAAGUUUGAGGAAGGUGAAAAAAUGGAGUAAUAUUAACUCACCACAUGAGGCUUGUUCCCCUAUAAAAAGUCCAUCCAAUGAUCAUUCUACUUAUGUUUGGCGUGAGAAGGCGAUUUCUAAUGUAAUUUUGUACUGUAAGAGAUCGUAUGUCAACUGAGCCUGAUAUCGAUCAUCGUGAUCGUUUUGACCAGAAGAAGCAAUUCUAGAUGUUAAAUUUCAUCCUUAAAUUUUUUUCUCAGAUUUAUAUUUAGAUUUUUGUCUCUAUCAUGUAUCACUCAGAUUCAAUAUUUUAUACAUUCUGAUGUGAAAACGAAAAACUUAAAAUACACAAGCACACCCAUCUUGCUUGUGGUGGACAGUUAAUUGCACUAAGAGCAACUUAAGAUAGAAUUAGAAAGAAAUUAAAAGGGACAAAGGAUUUAAUUUGAUUGAAUGCAAGUUGAGGGAGAACUCAUUACUGCAAUUUUCAUAAUUUUCCCACUUAUUAUCCUUAAAAUUCUGAUAUAUGUAAUCAGAUGGGAAAAAAUCGGGAUUUAUUAUAUACAAAUUAAAGGAUGACAUAAUUAAGAUAUGAAGAUAAUAUUAGUCGAUAGAUAAACAAAACAAAUAUCAAAUUAAUGACGUUUUACAUUCGGUUCCACUUUAAAAAGUUUUGAUAUGUUAGUUUUUAGGCACACUCUUAGUACAAGCACUAUGAAUAAAUAUGAAUAUCAAAUCAAUGCCCACUAUUUGUUUAAAACAAAAAAUGCCUAAGCUUACGUGACUAAAAUAUAAAGUUUACCAUACAACUCCUACAAAGGUACAAAUUAAAUCUUGGAGCAUGAGUGUAUAUAUAUAUAUAUAAAUCUGAUGUGUACAUUAUUUUGACAUACUUAACCACCAAUUCAUGAUAACUUAUAAAGCUGUAUUCCUCCAAUAAACACAUGGUAAUUUGAAGUCUCAAUCUCCAACAGUCCUCAAACAACCUUAACCAACUCAAUCUUAAAGUACAACAGAUAAGAAACGAGUUUGGAACAAGGUGUUAUUUUUUAGCAAAUAUUGGUAAGGAAAAUGAGGUGCCUACAAGUUUUGGAAUGGAGAGUCAACAUGCCGGAUGGCUCAUCGCGAAUUUUAGUGCCAGAGUCCAGGCAAACAUGCAAGUUUAUCAGUAGAUUGCAAGGCAUAAUUAACUUUUUGAUUUUUAACUUUUAAGUCACUUAAAAAUAAUAAUCCAAACGUCCUAUUACGUUGAAGUCAUGAAGUGUCGUUGGACUUUCAUAAUUGAUUUAGCUUAAUUAUAUUAAUACUCCCUCCAUCUCAUUUUACUCAUCUCAAUUUGACAUUGCACAUUGUUUAAAAAAAAAAAUUAUAACAUGGCUAUUUACCAUAGUAUUUCUAUUAAAUGAUGAUUACAUUUUAAUUUGGAGAUAAAAUAAUUAAUAUUAAAGGUCAAAAAGAAAAAAAAAUUAUCUUAUCUUGAUUAAUGAAAAAUACCAAGUAAAAUAAAAAAAUCAAAUUAGAAAAUUUGGGACGAGUAAAAUGGGACGGGAGAGUAUUUAUUAUUAUAACACACAUAAUUUAUUUGUGAGGAAAAAAGAGACUUAAGUAUAAUAUAUCUUUUUUAAGAAUAAAUUGUUCAUAAAGCACUUAAUAUUGAAGUAGACAGUUUUAAAAAUUUGAAGGCAGUUGAUGUGAAACGUAAAAAAUGAGCGUUAAUUACAAUGUUAUCCCUAUUUAACUUCUUUUCCAAGUAGAACUAGAAGAUUUUCCAAUUGCUUCCUUAAUACAGUUAUACUUAACAAAAAUGAGUGUGAAUUUACAAUAUUACCCCUACUUAAAUCCUUUUCCAAGUAGAGCUAAGAGAAGCUUUCCAAUUGCUUCCUUUAUAAUAAACCAACUCCCCUGCAUUGCAACUCCAUAUCCUUCAAUUUUCUCCUCCAACAACAAUGGUGAAAUCGACGAAAGUUCACUAUAUGCUUACGGAAUUGGAAAUGGAUGGGGCUUUGCAGUUAAUUCAGCUUAGCCGAGAUUCUUAUAAUGACGAAGAAAGCAGGGAAAUACACAGGAGACAUCUUAUUCUUCAACGGCCACGGCUAAAUUAAUAAGGAAAAGGAAUUUCCGGUCAGUCGUUGAUCUCUAUGAAGAGACUCAACCAUUGAUAAAGAUGAUGAUGAAGAAGAAUAAGCAUUGAACAGGCUUUGAAAAUUAAACCUUAGUUAUACAUAGUAAUGUUAUGUAAAUUAAUCAUACGCAAUUAAUUCGGUGUACAAUAAUCCAAUUGUAUAAGUAAGCAUAUUACUGUACUAAACUCAAUCAACUUUUAUGGUAUAAGCUUUGUUGGGAUGUAAAUUUCUAAGACCUUUUGUUAGAAUUUCAUUAUAUGUAGUUGUAAGGCCUGUUACUCUUUAGAUUAUUUUCUUUACUAAAGUUGAACGAUAGUUGGAUCAUGUGGGUGAAAAUGAAGGACUGCAAACAUGUUAUAACAGGAUAUGUGUCGCGACCCGAGCCAAGUCACUGGCCGCAACGGGCAUCCCGAAUCAUCAAGGACCGAGAGACCCAUAUCUCUGCCCAACCCACUAGUGAUAUUGUCCACUUUGGGCCCAGGCCCUUGGCAUUAAAACACAUCACUAGUUAGUAAGACUUGCUUACUUAUAUACCUAGUAUCCCUCCUACUUUUGCCGAUGUGGGACUCCUUCCUAAGUUGGGGUGUUUCAUACACCCCCUUUAUGGACUCAGUGUCCUCGCUAAGGUUUUCCCCACCGAAUGAGAUUUGGCUACACUCAGGACUAAAGUUUUCCCCGCCUUAUCAGGAUGAUAGAGCAAACUUAAAUCAUAGUCCUUGAGUAACUCAAGCCACCUUCUCUGCCUGAGAUUCAACUUCUUCUGACUGAAAACAUAUUGGAGUCUUUUAUGAUUAGUGGAAAUAUCAACAUGUACCCCAUAAAGAUAGUGAUGCCAAAUCUGUAAAGCAUGGACACAGUUGCUAAUUCAAGAUCGUGAGGGGGUAAUUCCCCUCAUUAUUUUUAAGUUUUCUCGAGGCAUAGGCUAUAACCUUACCACGUUACAUCAAUACACAACCAAUACCAAACCGUGAAGAAUCACAAUAAACCACGAAGCCUUUAUUUCUGUCCGGUAAAGUCAACACUGGGGCGAAGGUCAAUCUAUCUGUUAGCUCCUGAAAACUCUUAUCACAUCCCUCUGACCAUUGAAACUUGACCAUUUUCUGAUUCAAUCUAGUUAAAGGAACGACAAUGGAGGAAAAUCCCUCCACAAAUCUCCUGUAGUAACCAGCUAGACCCAUAAAGCUUCUAAUUUCAGAAGGUGUAGUAGGUCUGGGCCAAUUUUUCACUGCCUCAAUCUUUUGAGAAUCAAGCUGAAUGUCUUUACCAGAAAUAAUAUGGCCCAAAAAUGCUACCGACUCCAACCAAAAUUUACACUUGGAGAAUUUAACAUACAGCUCACGGUUCUUAAGUGUUUGAAGAGCAAUCCUGAGAUGAUUAGCAUGCUCCUCCUUACUUUGAGAGUAGACCAAAAUAUCAUCAGUGAAGACAAUUACGAACAUAUCCAAUUAUGGUUUAAACACCUCUAUUCAUAAGGUCCAUAAAAACUGCAGGAGCAUUAGUCAAACCAAAGGACAUAACUAAAAAUUCAAAGUGACCAUAUCGAGUUCAGAAAGCUAUCUUCGAAGUAUCACAUUCUGUAACUUUUAAUGGAUGGUAACCAGAUCUUAGAUCUAUUUUAGAAAAAUACUUGGCAUCCUGUAGCUGAUCGAAUAUCUAUUCUAGGAAGGGGUACUUGUUCCUUAUAGUGACUUUAUUCAGCUGGCGAUAAUCGUUGCACAUCUGAAGUGAACCAUCCUUUUUAUGCACGAACAAGACUGGAGCGCCCCAAGGAGAAAUGUUAGGCCUUAUAAAACCUUUAUCAAGAAGAUCUUUCAACUGCUCUUUCAACUUUCUUAACUCUGCAGGAGCCAUUUUAUAUGGUGGAAUGGAGAUAGGCUGAGUGUCGGGAAGAAGAUCAAUCCCAAAAUCUAUUUCUCUAUCGGGAGGAACUCCUAGAAGAUCGUUAGGAAAAACUUUUGGAUACUCAUUGACAACAGGAACAAACUGGGUAUAUAAGUAAGUAAGACUUACUAACUAGUGACGCGUUUUAAAGUCGUGCGGGCCUGAGCCCAGAGCGCAUAAUAUCACUAGAGGGUUGGGCAGAGACAGGGGUUUCUCAGGACUUUGUUGGUCCAGGAUGCCCGGCACGGCCAGGGCCUCAGCUCGGGUCGUGACAGUUGGAAAGAGACAGGGGUCUCUUGGGCCUUUGAUGGUUCGGGAAGCCUGUCUCGGCUAGGGACUUGGCUCGGGUUGCAACAAUAUGCCUUCUUACGUGAACUCAUGAUUACAAAUUGAGAAAAAAUGUUACCAGUAGCUAUAUGCAUUACAAACUAAUUUUUACUACUAACCUCCAAGUUAAAACUAGUCAAUUUAUGACUGAGUCCUCACAAUACAGAUUAGGGACAUAAGAUGAAAUUAAAUUGAGCCCAUGGUCAGGGAGAAUUCACUUACCUCAGCUUGUUUUGGUUGUAUCAAAAUCAAUUUUACACAACCUCUCAUUUUCCAACAACAAUAGCUACACUCCAUUGCGCUAGUAAUGGAUGUGUUAACGCGGCGUAUCCAAGGGGAGGUGCCGUGGUGUAUGCUUUUUGCAGACGAUGUAGUCCUGAUAGAUGAGACGCGAGGGGGUGUGAACGACAAAUUAGAGCUGUGGAGGCAAACUCUGGAGUCUAAAGGGUUCAGGGUGAGCAGAACCAAGACAGAGUAUGUGGAAUGUAAGUUUAAUGACGUAAGGCGAGAGAAUGAGGUAGUGGUGAGGCUAGAAGCGCAGGAGGUAAAGAAAAGGGAUAAGUGCAAGUACCUCGGGUCCGUGAUCCAGAGUAACGGUGAGAUUGACGAGGAUGUCUCGCACCGUAUCGGGGCGGGAUGGAUGAAGUGGAAACUUGCAUCGGGGGUGCUGUGUGAUAAGAAGGUGCCGCCCAAGCUUAAAGGUAAAUUCUAUAGGGUGGUAGUCCGUCCGGCCUUGCUGUAUGGAGCGGAGUGUUGGCCAGUUAAGAACUCCCACACCCAAAGAAUGAAGGUGGCAGAAAUGCGGAUGUUGCGCUGGAUGUGUGGACUGACCCGAAGGGAUAGAGCUCGGAAUGAGACUAUCCGGGAGAAGGUUGGGGUGACUUCAGUGGAGUGUAAGAUGCGGGAAGCACGAUUGAGAUGGUUCGGACACGUGAAGAGGAGGGGCAUGGAUGCCCCGGUCCGUAGGUGUGAGAGGCUAGCGUUGGAUGGUUUUAGACGGGGUAGGGGUAGACCGAAGAAGUACUGGGGUGAGGUGAUUAGGCGGGACAUGGAACAGUUACAGCUUACCGAGGACAUGACCCUAGAUAGGAAGGUCUGGAAGACGCGAAUUACGGCAGAGGAUUAGGGCCUGUUCGGGUCGCUAAUGUAGGGAGGUAAUUGGUGGGGGUGUAUUCCUGGUAUGAUUCCGUAUUCAAUGUUCUGUUCCGUGUUCCGUGUUCUAUGUUUGUUACGAAUCUGUGUGCUUUCCUCUGCUUUAUAUUCCUGCAUCCCUGCUUUACUCUGUUUUAUAUUCCUUAUGGCUGCAGUAUCUAUGUUAUGUCAUCUGCUUCUGUGCUGUACUAUGUGUUUGUUUGAUAUCUCGUAACUUGAGCCGGGGGUCUUUCGGAAACAGCCUUUCUACUUCAUCAGAGGUAGAGGUAUGGACUGCGUACAUCUUACCCCCCCCAGACCCCACAAAGUGGGAAUACACUGGGUUUGUUGUUGUUGUUGUUGUUGUAAUAGCUACACUCCAUUCCAAACAAGUUGUGAUCGACUACAAAAAUCCUUUUGUAUUUCUCCAUUUAAGCUCACAUCUAGAAAACUUAACUUAAGUAUUUCCAAGGUUUCAAAUUGUCAAUGCCACAUAGUUCAUUAAAUUGCAUUUGUUUGGAAUCAACAAGUUUGACCGAUAUGAACACCACUUAAAUCUCUUAUAACACAGACUUUACAUUAUUUUCAUUAUUCAUCGAAUUUUGAAUCGUGCAAAUCUCUUAUGAGGUAGAUUUUUGCAUGGUGUGUUGACGUAAUCAAACAUUUCUUAUGAACCAACUUAAACAAAUACACACCCACACUCUCCGAAAUGGCAUUGACUUUACCCAGUAAUUGAUCACCAAACAUGUUGAAAUCCCAAACAUCCGGUACGCCCAUGGUGUUCGACAAUAUUACCAAACCGUCUUCCUCUACAACAAGCUCAUUCAAGCCUGUUCUUCUCAUGGGCUUUCUAACCUGUGUUUUUCUCUCUACAUCCAGAUGCACCGUCAAGGCUGCUCUCCUAAUCCCACAUCCUUCAUGUUCGUCUUCGCCGCAAGCGCCAAUCGUUCUAGCCCNNNNNNNNNNNNNNNNNNNNNNNNNNNUCAAAUGGGGUUUUGAACUUGAAAUUUACACGUUAACUGCACUUGUUGACAUGUAUGCUAAAAUGGGGUUGUUGCCUUCUGUGCGGAAGCUCUUUGAUGAGAUGGAAAUGAAGGAUGUGCCUACUUGGACUUCUUUGAUUGCUGGGUAUGCCAAGAAUGGAAAUAUGGAAGAAGCUUUCAAGUUGUUUUCGGAAAUGCCUUUGAGGAAUGUGAUUUCUUUGACUGCGAUGAUCUGUGGAUGUUCGCAAAAUGGGAAGUAUGCGGAUGCACUAGCUGUUUACAAGGAAAUAGAGAAAGCCGGAGGGGUAAAAUUCAAGAAUUGAGGCUCGCAGGUUCAGGUUACUCAGGUAAAAUACCAUCAAGUUACACACACCUUCUUAACUACAUUGUCACUUCAGAACAAUCGAUUGACAGGCAAGAUUCCUAUGGAAUUUAUGAUCUUUUCACACAUGUAUCACUUGAAUUUGAGCAGAAAUGUGUUGUCUGAUGUUUUGCCAUCUAUUUCAAGUUUCUUGAAAAUAUUUGAUAGGAACUUGGACUUGAAUCUUUGUUUGUGCUUUGUCUAUUACUAUGGCUUUGUUGUAUCCUUUAGAAUUGUUUUUUUAGGAAUUUAGGCUUUGUUCCAUGAGGCUCAUGAAGAUGCCUAAAAUGCUGAAUCGGACAUGGUCAAUAAUGCCAGAGUUGCGGUCGAGUCUUCCUCGCAGAUGACAAGAUAAUACGACUAACAAGAACAAGCAGAAGCUUCCUGUUGUGCUGCCUUCCCCUGCCUCAACAUCACAAGUGCAUAAUGGUAGUAAUCACACUAAAGUUUGUACUCAACAAGAGAAGUUGAAUUCUUCUCUUGAGUUAUUAACCAAUGGAAACAUCAGCACCCUCGCAAGAUGCAAAGAAAUCAGCAGUCCAAUAUACAUACAAAUAAGUUUCAGGGAGGGGAUGCGGUUGUUUGGGCACCUGUGCAGUCUCAAAGCAAAACUGAAGACGCUGGUGAAACAAAUUAGAAAACUGGAUCUAAUUCAAUUGGUCCUUAUAAUACGAUGAUGAUAAAGGGAAAGAAAUGUCAACGCACAACAAACCUUUUAACACUCUACAGAACUGAGCCUUUUAGCUCCACAAUAAUUGAAUAAAAAAUCUGCAAACGUAAACAGAGGAGCAAAAAGUAUCACCUAUAAAACCUCAUAGCUUCAUCUCAACCUCUUUUGACUUCAUCACACCAGCCACGACAGUAUAAUAACUAAAGUAAUGCCACAUGCAGGACACAACUCAACACACGACUAAAAACUAACGGAAAUAUGAAGUAUGGUCACUUGUUUCCAAAAAGGUAUAAUUAUAUAUGUCAGAAUUCCACAAGAAACAAAUCUGUCAUUACACCUUCCAAGCAACUUGAAACUAACGAUACAGAAGUGCCUCUUCGAAGUUUUAAUAUCAACAAUUAGCUAAGAUGAUGAACAAUGCAGUCAUAGUGUCAACAAAAAAUGAGGUCUUCAUGAUGCUAAACAACAAAAGAUGAAAUAGUAGCUCCAAGCCACAGGAAUCAAAUGUAUGGAAAAGAUUCCAAUUGUAUGUGUUCUUCAUUUACUUUUUAUCUUUCUCCCAAAAGAGGAAUGUGCAAUGUAAGAGGUUUACCUUUCUCGUGUGUUCAAAGCAACUGGAUUGCCUACUGAGGCAGCUCUCAAAGUUUUGGUGGAAAAGAUGGGAGUACCAGAUAGCAAAGCAAGGAGCAAGAUUCGGGACGCACAGAUUGUAUCGAGCUAUUGGAUCGAUCGCAACACAGUUAAAUUAGGUGAGCAUACUUUUACUUCACCCAUCUAUCUAUUUGCUACUAUUUUCGAACUAGCGUAUUGAUAUUUUUUAAUAUAGGAUGCUGUGAUUGGUGGAUGAAAAGAUCGAAAAGGGUCCAUUUGAUUGUGUGCCUAAAUCCAUGGGUGUUAUUGUGCGGGAGCCAAAUGGGACUUGUCAAGGUUGUUUCAUGUCAUCAAUAGCAAUGGAGUCGGGUGCAAUUGCACUUUUUUUUUAAUAACUGUUGUCUUAACUACAUUAGACACUAGGGAAAAUAACUUUUUUUUUAAUAACUGUUGUCUGUACUACAUUAGACACUCUAAAAUAUUUUUCUUUAUUUGUUUGCUGGCUUCGAUAUACUCAGAUUGCCAUAAAAAUUCUUAUCUUUAGUCUAAUUCUAGUAAUCUUGUUGGUUGCCGUGGGCUGUAUAUGCCUCGGAAAUUUCAAUUGGCAAGCAACUGAAUCGGUAUUAUUUUAUCUAUAGAAGUAGGUUCAAUGUUGUUCCUUUACAAGAUGUUGUGUCCGUUUAACUGUUUUUUAUUGUUCUUCAGUUUCCAAAAGUAAAAAAAUUCACACCAAUAGUUUGAAGUGUUAUAUGUCCUUUGUGCAAACAAUUCUUCUGUGGAGUCCAGCUCCACAACAUGAUAUUUAAUCUAGGAAAUGCUUAGUUUUUUUUGAUGUGUUGAACUCUGUCAUAGAAGUUGAUCUUGGUAAUAUCUGGACAUCUGAUUAAAACAUGUUUUGUCUAGGGUGCUGUUGAGAGUUUGCUAGAAUGUAGUACACACAUUCAACUUGCAGAUAGAUCAACUGUUCCAAUUGACGAGUCUUGUAGGCAACUAUUGUUGUCGAGGCUCUUGGAGAAGAGCUCAAAGGGUCUGCGGUGCUUGGGCUUGGCAUAUAAAGAUGACUUAGGUGAGCUUUCAGGAUACAAUGCUGAGACUCAUCCUGCCCACAAGAAGCUGCUUGAUCCGUCCUGAUGCUGCUCCAUUGAAAGUGAUCUAGUUUUUGUGGGAGUUGUUGGACUAAGGGUGAGUAGUGUUAAGUUUUCAAGAAUAAUGAAUCUAGAAAACCUUCAUUUUCCAUAUAGUUUGACAAAAAAACUGAAAUGCAGGACCCACCAUGUGAGGAAGUUCAUAAGGCAGUAAAUGACUGCAGAAGAGCUGGGAUCAAAAUCAUGGUUAUAACUGAAGACAAUAAAUCCACUGCUGAGGCCGUUUGCAGGGAAUUCAGUUGUUUUCUCAUGGUGAGAAUCUUAAGGGAAGUAGUUUUACUGGCAAAGAAUUCAUGGCACUUUCUUCUCAGCAACAAAUUAAGAUAUUGUCACAAGAUGGAGGCAAGGUAUUUUCUCGUGCUGAACCCAGGCACAAACAAGAAAUUGUAAGGAUUCUGAAGGAUAUGGGUGAAGUAGUUGCAAUGCCUGGAGAUGGUGUCAAUGAUGCACCUGCACUAAAAGUUGCUGACAUUGGAAUAGCCAUAGGCAUUACAGGAACUGAGGUGAAAUAAGCUUUUCCGGUGUGGUCGUUACAACUCAUUUUAGUGUUACAUACUUGCGUUAGUGCUCUCCAUCCAGUUAUUUAACCAUGUAAUACCUGACAUACAGUUUUGAAAUAGGAGAGUAGUGAGGUCUACUGAGGGAUUACUCGCCAUGCUGUGACAGUUUAUUAUCUAAAUCUCAAGAAGUAGCCAUGAUUGUGCACCUUGCAUGCGAAUUUUUUCUGCAUAUGUGAACUCAUUGGUCAUUUAAUUAAUUAGCUAAUCAAAGACUAAUAUUUUUAGGUUGCAACAGAAGCUUCUGAUAUGGUCCUGGCAGAUGACAAUUUCAGUACUAUAUUCUCUGCUGUUGCAGAGGGACGUGUGAUCUACAAUAACAUGAAGGCCUUCAUCAGGUUAGUCUUGUAUUUCGGGAAGUGAAUGUUUGAUUAUUCCUACAAUUAGUCAUGCCUUUAUUUUACUUAAUAUCAUAUGUAUUCUUUGCUGAUGCAGAUAUAUGAUAUCAUCCAACGUUGGUGAGGUCAUCUCUAUUUUCUUGACUGCUAUUUUGGGCAUACGAAAAUGUUUGAUACCUGUGCAGUUGCUCUGGGUAAAUUUGGUAACAGAUGGUCCACCUGCUACAGCUCUCGGACUUAACCCUGCCGAUGUUGAUAUAAUGCAGAAACCACCUAGGAAGAGCAAUGAUGCUCUCAUAAACUCCUGGGUUUUCUUCCGUUAUAUGGUCAGUUUGGAUCGCUAUUUCUUAUUCUUCGAUGUGUAUUGCUAAUGUUGCUGCAUUUGUUUUGUAUUUUGCUACUUUGUUGUCUCUUUUAUUACAGUCCUGCAUCAGAUACUGUCCUUUUGAGCAAGGGUCUUUCAGAAACACAGCCUCUCUACAAAGGUAGGGGUAAGGUCUGCAUACAUACUACCCUUUGUACAUCUUAUCCUCCCUAGAUUCAAUCACACUGGUUAUGUUGUUGUAAGCUAUAUUAAUUCUUCAAUUUUCUCGAAUGGUUUGAAAUAAAACUACUUCGUCUUUUUCCUUUUUUCCCAAGUAUUUAUUGUACUUUGUUUUCCUAAGUACGUGAAGAAAGUACUAAUGAUGAGAAUGACUCAUUUGAUUAGAAGAACCAAUGGUACAGGUUGUGCUUACUGCAGCAUUUCCCUAGCCGUGGUGGAUAACCCCUCUUAUGCUGUAUAAAAUUAUCUUUACUUUCAGCUUAUUACGAAAAGUAAUAUGUGCAAUCAAGGAAAAUAUGUUUACCCAUCUGGAUCACCUCCCUUCAUAAGCAAAGACUAUUAUCUUCUAGAUCAUGAUAACAUAAGCUGCCCAGUAAAAGAAAUCGAUGAAUCAAAGAGAGAAAUGAGAUGCUCUUUGUCUAAGCAACCAACUAUAUCUUUUUAUCAUAUUUUAUCUAUUCUUCAGUAUAUUGAACAGACUUCUCGACAAGCUAAGCAGCAUCAUACAUUCUGAUUUCUGAGAUAAUUUUCAGGUCAUUGGUUCUUAUGUGGGCAUUGCAACUGUCGGCAUAUUUAUAGUGUGGUACACCCAGGCUUCUUUUCUUGGUAUUAAUAUUGUGAGUGAUGGCUACACACUUGUUGAACUAUCACAGCUUCGUAACUGGGGUUGAGGCUCAGCAUGGCCAAAUUUCACCGUGAGUCCAUUCAAGGUUGGUAACCGCCUGAUCACCUUUUCUGACCCUUGUGAGUAUUUUACUGUCGGUAAAGUGAAGGCCUUGACACUGUCACUCUCUGUCCUGGUGGCAAUUGAGAUGUUUAAUUCUCUCAAUGCCCUCUCUGAAGACAACAGCUUGAUCAAAAUGCCACCUUGGAGAAAUCCUUGGCUUCUUAUUUCAAUAUCAGCGUCGUUUGGCCUACAUAGCCUGAUACUCUAUGUUCCUUCCCUAGCAGAUAUAUUUGGUAUUUUCCCACUAAGCCUAAAUGAAUGGCUUCUAGUCAUCUUGCUUUCUGCACCAGUUAUUCUUAUUGAUGAAGUCCUCAAAUUUGUGGGGAGGAGGAGAAGAAGAACUAAACUAACAGCUGCAUAAUGUAUUCGUAUAUGCUCAAUUUUAUUGAUUAAAGGAGGUUUUCUUUGAGUAGAUAUGCAAGUUAGGUGGGAAUUCAUGUAUAUUGUUUAGAAAUGAAAAUAUUUUUGGGGUGACAUUGUUGAGGAACUCUGGAAGCUAUGUUGCCUGCACAUGCCUUGGAAGGCUUCUUGUUAUCACAAAAGUCAAGGUUUCUGAAGCAAAACCUAUUGCUUUUUACCUGAUCCUUUCUAGGAGGUUUUUUCAUGUAUUACAAGUUCUAAUUUGUAUUAUUCAUUUAUAAUUGUCUCUGCCAUCUUACGCAGAGUUUCAUGGACUUAAGUGACCGUUUUGGUUUGGUGCUUUAACAUGUAUAUUUCCUCAGUCAUUGCUAUAGUUGUAGUUCUCUUUUUUCUUUUCAAGUUGCUGUUAGUGCGGAACUAGUGAUGACAGCAAGGAGGGUGUUGGACACUUCAAGCUUUACCACGCCCUGAUUUUCAGAAACAUACAUAGCUUGAAUUGUUUGUGAUUCAAGUUGGUGGUUAGGAGGAAAUUACUUCACUCUAGCCAAAAUAGGAAGGAGAGAAAUGUAGGUCCAAAAACCGUUCAGAUUUUUUUGCUACAAUUCUAUUCAACCAUAGAAUCCAAAUCAAUAUCAACGUUGCUAACAACAAAUUUCAAUCUAGUGGUGACUUAAGAAGUGCAUAUAUCUCAUUUGAUUUUGGAUGGGAUUUAUCCUCUACUAUAAACUUAUGAAUAUCACCUCCUUCCUCGAUGAAGCUGUACCCUGCUGCAUUUGUAAUCUGGGAGGACUUCAUCAGUUUCCUGAACCUUGCAACACCAUCCCACAGACCAGCUCUUGCAUAGAUAUUUGAGAGAAUAACAUAAUUCCCAGGAUUCCAUGGCUCCAACACAAAAAGGAAUUCGACUUGUUCAGCCAGUUCAACAUUGCCAUGGAAACUGCAGGCUCCAAGCAGAGUUCCCCAUAUACCAUUAUCAGGUCUCAUUGGCAUGCUUUGUAUAAGAUCAUAAGCUUCCUGCAAUCUCCCAGCCCGGCCUAAGAGAUCAACCAUACAGCCAUAGUGUUCUAAUUUUGGAGCUAUGGAGAAUCUUCUCUCCAUCACUUUUGAGGAGUUCCCAGCCCUUCUCUACCAUGCCUCCAUGUGUGCAUGCUAAGAUUGCUCCGACAAAUGUUACAUCAUCAGGUGCAUUUCCUUCUCCCUGUGUGAUACAAGUCAAAAAUACUAAAACUGAAACGUCACACAAAUAAUGGAAAAAACUAAAAACAAAGAAACAAGAUAGAAAAUUAAAGGGAUAGAUAGAUUGACACAAUGAGAUAAAGAGAGGACAAUCUAAGGAUAUUUCAAACCCGAAGACCUUCCUAUCGAAAUAUCACAAGCACCAACCUCUUACGAGGACCUCACGGGAAUGGACCCAAGCAACCCACGUUUCUCACAUUCAAUGUAACUCCUAACAAGUUACCACUAAACACUCUCAAGUGUAAAGGCCAUGGGUCUUUACUAUACAAUGGGCCCAAAAGUGACCCUAAAAGCUAUUGGGCCCAAAAGUGACCCAAAUCCCAAAAUAAUGUCAUGGGCAUUCAUGCUCUCUCGAAACCCACGUUAUCUUCCAAACACGUCGUGGCUCAAUGCUUCCAUGGAUGACAUCAUCAAAUGUAGCUUCUCGUGCUCCAAGCUAUCAUCCACACACGUAUUUGUUCCCCUAAAACAACCAAAUCUUGGAUCCAUAGAUGUGAUCCUUGAAGCAUCGAUCCCAAAGGAGUGGAGCCCAUUGAUCUUGUAUAACUGUGUCGACAGCACAACACUCGUGUAAAUUCCACUAUAAAAGCUCAUGCUUGCUGUUGUAAUUGGACGUUUGAUAAGCACAACAACGGUAAAGAAGAACAAAGAGAAUAUUUGCAAAGGCUUACCAGCAUUUGAUUGAAAAGCUUAAGAGCUUCAUCACUUUUUCCAUGGACAGCUAACCCCAUGAUCAUGGUAUUCCAAGAACACAAGUUCCUCCUCCUACCAAUCUCGUGAAAGAGUUGCAUUGCCCUAUCAUUCUAACACACUUUGUAUACAUUUCAAGCACAGCAUUACAAACAAACAUAUUCUUAAAGCAUCCACUUGCUCUUGCAUAAACUUCAAUCUUCUCACCAACCUCCAGUGCUCCAAGAUUUGCACAAGCUGGAAGAACACUAGCAAUCUUAACUUCAUUAGGCUUUACCCCUCUGGCUUUCUCCAUUUCCUUAUAAACAGCUAGUGCAUCCGCAUACUUCCCAUUUUAUGAACAUCCACACAUCAUCGCAGUCAAAGAAAUCACAUUCCUCAAAGGCAUUUUCGAAAACAACUUGAAAGCUUCUUCCACAUUUCCAUUCUUGGCAUACCCUGCAAUCAAAGAAUUCCAAGUAGGCACAUCCUUCAUUUCCAUCUCAUCAAAGAGCUUCCGCACAGAAGGCAACAACCCCAUUUUAGCAUACAUGUCAACAAGUGCAGUUAACGUGUAAAUUUCAAAUUCAAAAACCCAUUUGAUGAAAUGAACAUGAACAUUUGGUUUUGAAAGGGGGUAGAACGAUUGGCGCUUUUGGCGAAGACGAACGUGAAGGAGUGUGGAUUAGGAGAGCAGCCUUGACGGCGCAUCUGGAUAUAGAGAGAAAAACACUGGUUAGAAAGCCCAUGAGAAGAAUAGGCUUGAAUGAGCUUGUUGUAGAGGAAGACGGCUUGGUAAUAUUGUCGGACACCGUGGGCGUACGGGAUGUUUGGGAUUUCAACAAGUUUGGUGAUCAAGUACUGGGUAAAGUCAAUGCCAUUUCGGAGAGUGUGGGCGUGUAUUUGUUUCAGUUGGUUCAUAAGAAAUGUUUGAUUACGUCAACACACCAUGCAAAAAUCUACCUCAUAAGAGAUUUGUACGAUUCGAAAUUCGAUGAAUAAUGAAAAUAAUGUAAAGUUUGUGUUAUAAGAGAUUUAAGUGGUGUUCAUAUCGGUCAAACUUGUUGAUUCCAAACAAAUGCAAUUUAAUGAACUAUGUGGCAUUGACAAUUUGAAACCUUGGAAAUACUUAGUUUAAGUUUUCUAAAUGUGAGCUUAAAUGGAGAAACACAAAAGGAUUUUUGUAGUCGAUCACAACUUGUUUGGAUUGGAGUGUAGCUAUUGUUGUUGGAAAAUGAGAGGUUUUGUAAAAUUGACUUUGAUACAACCAAAACAAGCUGAGGUAUGUGAAUUCUCCCUGACCAUGGGCUCAAUUUAAUUUCAUCUUAUGUCCCUAAUCUGUAUUUUGAGGACUCAGUCAUAAAUUGACUAGUUUUAACUUGGAGGUUAGUAGCGAAAAUUAGUUUGUAAUGCAUAUAGCUAUUGGUAACAUUUUUUCUCAAUUUGUAAUCAUGAGUUCACGUAAGAAGGCAUAUUGUCGCGACCCGAGCCGAGGCCCUGGCCAAGACGGGCUUCUCAAACCAUCAAAGGCCCGAGAGACCCCUAUCUCUGCCCAACUGUCAUGACCCAAGCCGAGGCCCUGGCAGCGCCGGGCAUCCUAGACCAACAAAGUCCUGAGAGACCCCUGUCUCUGCCCAACCCUCUAGUGAUAUUGUGCUCUCUGGGCUCAAGCCCGCACGGCUUUAAAAUGCGUCACUAGUUAGUAAGGCUUACUAACUUAUAUACCCAGUUUGUUCCUGUUGUCAAUGAGUAUCCAAAAGUUUUUCCUGACGGUCUUCUAGGAGUUCCUCCCGAUAGAGAAAUAGAUUUUGGGAUUGAUCUUCUUACCGACACUCAGCCUAUCUCCAUUCCACCAUAUAGAAUGGCUCCUGUAGAGUUAAGAGAGAUGAAAGAGAAGUUGAAAGAUCUUCUUGAUAAAGGUUUUAUAAGGCCUAACAUUUCUCCUUGGGGUGCUCCAGUUUUGUUCGUGCGUAAAAAGGAUGGUUCACUUUGGAUGUGCAUCAAUUAUCGCCAGCUGAAUAAAGUCACUAUAAGGAAUAAGUACCCCUUCCUAGAAUAGAUAUUCGAUCAGCUAAGGGAUGCCAAGUAUUUUUCUAAAAUAGAUCUAAGAUAUGGUUACCAUCCGUUAAAAGUUACAGAAUGUGAUACUCUGAAGACAUAUUUCUGAACUUGAUAUGUCACUUUGAAUUUUUAGUUAUGUCCUUUGGUUUGACUAACGCUCCUGCAGUUUUUAUGGACUUUAUGAAUAGAGGUGUUUAAACCAUAUUUGGAUAUGUUCGUAAUUAUAAGAAUCUCCACUAAGCUGAAUUAACUGCAAAGCCGCAUCCAUUUCCAAUUCCGUAGGCAUAUAGUGAACUUUCGUCGAUUUCACCAUUGUUGUUGGAGGAAAAAAUUGAAGGAUAUGGAGUUGCAAUGCAGGGGAGUUGGUUUAUUAUAAAGGAAGCAAUUGGAAAGCUUCUCUUAGCUCUACUUGGAAAAGGAUUUAAGUAGGGGUAAUAUUGUAAAUUCACACUCAUUUUUGUUAAGUAUAACUGUAUAAGGAAGCAAUUGGAAAAUCUUCUAGUUCUACUUGGAAAAGAAGUUAAGUAGGGGAAACAUUGUAAUUAACGCUCAUUUUUUACGUUUCACAUCAACCGCCUUUAAAUUUUCAAAACUGUCUACUUCAAUAUUAAGUGCUUUAUGAACAAUUUGUUCUUAAAAAAGAUAUAUUAUACUUUAGUCUCUUUUUUCCUCACAAAUAAAUUAUGUGUGUUAUAAUAAUAAAUACUCCCCCGUCCCAUUUUACUCGUCUCAAAUUUUCUAAUUUGAUUUUUUAUUUUACUUGACAUUUUUCAUUAAUCAAGAUAAGAUAAUUUUUUUUCUUUUUGACCUUUAAUAUUAACUAUUUUAUCUCCAAAUUAAAAUGUAAUCAUCAUUUAAUAGAGAAACUAUGGUAAAUAGCCAUGUUAUAAAUUGUUUUUCUUAAUCAAUGUGCAAUGUCAAAUUGAGAUGAGUAAAAUGAGAUGGAGGGAGUAUUAAUAUAAUUAAGCUAAAUCAAUUAUGAAAGUCCAACGACACUUCAUGACUUCAACGUAAUAGGACAUUUGGAUUAUUAUUUUUAAGUGACUUAAAAGUUAAAAAUCAAAAAGUUAAUUAUGCCUUGCAAUUUACUGAUAAACUUGCAUGUUUGCCUAGACUCUGGCACUAAAAUUCGCGAUGAGCCAUCCGACAUGUUGACUCUCCAUUCCAAAACUUGUAGGCACCUCAUUUUCCUUAACCAUAUUUGCUAAAAAUAACACCUUGUUCCAAACUCGUUUCUUAUCUGUUGUACUUUAAGAUUGAGUUGGUUAAGGUUGUUUGAGGACUGCUGAAGAUUGAGACUUCAAAUUACCAUGUGUUUAUUGGAGGACUACAACUUUAUAAGUUAUUAUGAAUUGGUGGUUAAGUAUGUCAUAAUUGUGCACACAUCAGAUAUAUAUAUAUACACACACACUCAUGCUCCAAGAUUUAAUUUGUACCUUCGUAGGGGUUGUACGGGAAACUUUAUAUUUUAGUCAGGUAAGCUCAGGCAUUUUUUGUUUUAAACAAAUAGUGGGCAUUGAUUUGAUACUAAUAUUAUCUUCAUAUCUUAAUUAUGUCAUCCUUUAAUUUGUAUAUAAUCAAUCCCUAUUUUUUCCCAUCUUAUAACAUAUAUUAGAAUUUUAAGAAUAAUAAGUGGGAAAAUUAUGAAAAUUGCAGUAGAGAGUUCUCCCUCAACUUGCAUUCAAUCAAAUUAAAUCCUUUUUCCCUUUUAAUUUCUUUUAAUUCUAUCUUAAGUUUCUCUUAGUGCAAUUAAAGGUCCACCACAAGUAAGAUGGGUGUGCUUGUCUAUUUUAUGUUUUUCAUUUUCACAUCAGAAUGUACAAAAUAUUGAAUCUGAGUGAUUCAUGAUAGAUUAUUUGUAUGAAGAGCCAAAAAUCUAAAUAUACAUCUGAGAAAAGAAUUUAAGGAUGAAAUUUAACAUCUAGAAUUGCGUCUUCUGGUCAAAACAAUCACCAUGAUCGAUAUCAGGCUCAGUUGACAUACGAUCUCUUACAGUACAGAAUUGCAUCAGAAAUCGCCUUCCCGUGCCAAAUAUCAGUAGAAUGAUCAUUGGAUGGACUUUUUAUAGGGGAACAAUCCUCAUGUGGUGAGUUAAUAUUGCUCCAGUUUUUCACCUUCCUCAAACUCUUAACUCUUCUAGUACUACUACUACUUCUUUGGUUGUUAUCAUUUCCACACCAAUUGACAACAGAAUAAGAUUUCAAAAUUCAACGAGGAGAUCCCUGAAAUGAAGUAUCAGUAGUACUCUUGCAGCUUUGAAUUUCACUUACUUUUCUUUGAAGUUCAUAAACUUUUGCAGUACUUUUUCUUGAACUUGCUAUCCUUUUGGAGAUUGGCCUGACGAAUCCAAACCACUUAACCAAGAUUUUGGGCAAAAACUUCCUCCAUUUUUCAAGAAAAUCAGCUUGACUAGUUGUGGAAUUUGAAAGUUUAGAUAUUGGCGUAGGAGGAGUACUAGUUGAGGGUACUGAUGAAUUUGUGUUGAAAUUAUUGAAGGUUUCGCAAAAAGAUUCAACCUUUGAUCUAUCAAGAUAUCGAGGCAUGAUAUAUCCAUCAGAGAAGAUUUCAUCAGCACAAACAGAUUCUGAAAUAGGAUGAACAUCCAAGUUGAAGUUUUGUUCUUCUUUUAGGAAUCUUUUCAAAUAAGCGAUAAAUUUUAACUCUUCCUCAGCAUCAUCAUGAGUAUUAUAAGAGGAUCUAGGGGAUUCUGUUAGUCCAUCAAUGAAUGGUUUUCUAUUCAACAACCAACUAUAUGAAAAACUCUCUAUGGCAAGAGGUUGUUGGAAAUUUUCCAUAGUGAAUAUUAUACUACAAUACAGCCUCUCUACUUCACCUGAGGUAGUGGUAUGAUCUGCGUACACUUUAUUUUCCCCAGACCCGACUAUAUCGGAAUACACUGGGUAUGUUGUUGUUUUUGUUGAAUAGUAUACUAUAUUAUGGGAAGAAAUGAAAAGGAAAAUGAGAUGCUUAUAUAAAGAAUUUACAAGUUACCACUACAACAGAUUAAAACACACAUGUUGUAAAAAAAAAAUUUAAGUUGUCAACGUAUAUAAGUUAAAUCUGCAUAAAAAUAAAUGCUCAUCAUUAUUUGAGGAGGAGUUGUUUAUAUAGCAAAAGAUCACAAAAAUAAAAGGAAGAAAAAUAUUUGAUAAUUCAAUCAAGGAGAUUAUUCAAUGAGGUAAAUCACUUAACUCCACCAAUCAUGAUAUGGUUGCCACAAAUAAACAAAUAAGAAUCUGUCUAAAUCUUACUAUUGAAAUCUUCCAUAAACAAAAUAAGGAAAAGAAAAUUCUCCCUACUUAUUAAAGGAAGUCAAGAGGGGGUAAAAGACAUUAGUAUCAAUCAAUUGCAAUAUCAUCUAAAUUUAUCAUAAUUAAUACGUAAAUGAAUGUCUGUCACACUAAAUAAGGGAAAAGAGAAAUUAGAAAAUCAAUUAGUGAAAUUGUUCCUAACAAAUAAGGCAAAAUCGAAUUAGGCACAAAGUCAAGGUAAAUGAAUCAAAUCGAUAGACCAAAUGUUCCCAUAUUAAGUUUGCGAGAUUUGCGACACAGUAGGCGAAGUAAUAGGGGUGUAUUCUGAUGUAUCUAGAGAUAAGCUACUUUUAUGAGUUAGAAGGGAUUUUUGUAAUUAGUAUAGUGAGAUGGAAUUUUAAGUAAUAAUUGAAAGUUAAGGUGUUGUUUUAAGUAAUUUUUUCUUUAAAAAAUCUAAGUAUAAUGAAGAAUUAUCCACUUUUUAUCAAAAAUAUUUUAGAACUUUGAAUUAAAUGAUUCAAAUCUUCAAACCAAUAAUAACUUAACAUUUUAUUAUUUAGAAUUAAUCUUUACUUUUAUAAUAAUAAUCAUAUUAAUAUUAAUAAUAUUAAAACAUUUAAUGUCUUUUAAUAAUACUAGAAUUUCUAUUAAAAUUUGGAUUUAGCCCACUUAUUUAAUACCCUUGCAACUGAAUGAUCAAAAACAUUUUGCAUACUUGCAAAACAAUGAGCUACAGAAGAACAAAUUAAUCAACGCUAAAAACUAGCAAAACUAAAUGACUAUAUACACUUUUUAUAUGAGGUACACAUAAUCUUUACCCAUACAAAUAAGGGGUAUGAAGGAAGUUAAGUCUGAAAGAAAAAGAAUACCAAAAUCCAUCAAAGGAUUCGAAUAUGUGACAAAAAUUAAGAAAAGAAAAGAAAAGAAAAAGUAAAAAAAACUUAAAUGUCAAUGAAGUUAUCAACUAUUCUCUUUCAAUCAAUUACCUGCCAAAUUUUUCUUCGCGGUCGAUCUCUUCCUGCACGCAUCUAUUGCCUCCAGCUUCAUUCUUGCGAGUUCUUGAAAGCAUUGUUGAUAUUGUGACUCAAUUGUAUCAAGCUCCAACUUUAACUCGGCGUUGUCCAGAUCAUCUUUCUCUACUAAUGAUAAAAAUGAACAAUUGCUGGAUACUCUCAUGCAUUUAGAAUCUUUAUCUGUAUCCAUCAAGGUCACCUCCAGAUUCAGAUUCUUUUCAAAUUCAUUCGAUAAUAUGCAGUAUACAUAAUCGCCACCAUUUCGAUGUGGCUUACCUUCAUGAUGAAACAAGCCCAUGAACUCUAGCUCUCAUAAGUAUCCACUAGAACCUUUAGAGAUUAAAUCUGCACAUGUAAAGUAGUCGCCAAAUCCAAAUGAAUUCGAAGAAUCUUUCUGAAAUUCAAGCAUUACAGUUUGAUAAUCCAUGAACAAGGAAGAAGAAAGGACAGAGUGUAGUUGGGAAUUUUAUUCUUCAUCGUCUGUACAUUACAACAUUGCAGCUAUUUAUAUACUUGAGCUAAGAUAGUGAGCUCAUUUCCAGCUUAGUGACAGCUCAUCAUAACUGACUAACCACUUCCCUAACAGCCUCUAACAACUUGCUAUUUCUAACUGACUAACAAUCGAGAAGCUUCCAGAACCUUCCAUCCAAUGGAACAGUUAGUGUUGUGUGGUUUUGUACAGUGAAUAUCAUAUCUUGAGAUCAUACUUUGAACUUGGAUCAGUAGUUAAAACACGCCCCCUCAAGCUGCAGGGUGCAAUAUAUUUAGCACACCAAGCUUGCCUAAUAAAUGAGCAUGUUGGGCUUGGCUCAGUCCCUUGGUAAGAAGGUCAGCCACCUGGUCAUGAGUGUGAACAUGUAUAGCUUGUAUCAGUCCACUUUUGAUCUUGUCCCUGAUAAAAUGACAGUCAAUCUCUAUGUGUUUUGUUCUCUCAUGAAUCACAGUAUUGUUGGCCAAUUGAAUUGUUGAAUUGCUGUCACUAAAGACUGAUAUGGGCAAGGUAAUGGGAACUUUGAGUUCCUGGAACAAACCAACCAACCAAGUUAUCUCUGCAACUGCUGAAGCCAUGCUUCUGUACUCAGCUUCAGCAGAGUUCCUGGAAAUAGUGUGCUGUUUUUUGGACUUCCAAGAAAUUAAAGAUUUACCAAAAUGAACUUCAUAGCCUGAUUACCUAGUGUUGGGACAAGUAGCCCAAUCUAAGUCACACCAAAAAGUUAGAGUGGUAGAAUGCUCAACCUUUACCCAGAUUCCUUGACCAAUAGAGCCUUUAAGGUACCUGACUACCCUGAUAGCAACCUCCCAGUGUGAUCUCUUGGGAUAUUGCAUAAAAUGGCUAAGAGCGUGGACUGCAAACUAAUAUCUGAUCUUGUAAUAUUGUCAUACAUGAGUUUACCCACUAGUCUUCGAUAAGAAGAAGCAUCAGACAAAGAAUCAUCACUUUGUGCACCUAUGGCUUGAUCAUACUCAAGUGAUGUUAACCUUACAUUGGAUUCUAAGGGAGUGAUUGCAGGUUUUGAACUACUAAGACCAGCAUCUAAAAUUAAUUCUAGGAAAUACUUCUUUUUGUUUAAUAUCACCCCUGAAGUGGAUCUGAGGACUUCAAUACCUAAGAAGCAUUUGAGAUUUCCCAAGUCCGUCAUCUUGAAAUGGUGAUAUAACUUGGCUUUUGUUGCAUCAAUCAAUGCUGCAUUGCUUUCAGUAAGGAGUAGGUCGUCAACAUAUACAAGAACUACUACUGUGUCAUUACCUUAAUGUAGAAUGAAGAGAGAAUAGUCAUGAGCAGUCUGAGUGAAUCCAGCAUCAAGCAAAACAUGAGUCAGUUUUAGGUUUCAUUGUUUGGAAGCCUGCUUGAGGCUGUACAAGGAUUUGAGAAACUUGCAAACUUUGUGCUCUCCUUGGCAAUAUAUUUAAUCUUGUAUAUCCAUUUGGAACCAACAGUGUUCUUUUCUUUGGGCAGGUCAACAAUAGUCCAUGUGUUAUUGGCCUCCAAUACUUGGAUUUCUAACUUCAUAGCUUCCACCCAUCUUUCAUCUUUUAUAGCUUGUUUAAAUUGUUGAGGCUCAGUCAGAGUGGACAACUUUAACAAGUACCACUAAUAUGCUGGUUUUAGUUUACUAUAAGAUUGGUUGUUGGCUAAGAGGUGCUUGCAUCUCUGGGUUUUUGAAGUGUCAACAUAAUCAUGCAUCUACAUAGGUGGCCUGCUUGUUCUUGUUGGUCUAUUGGAAGAGGGUUGAGGUAGGGAAAGGUCAUCUUGAUAUGUUUCUUCAUGAGUGGUGUCAGGUGAAACAGCACCAGGUACUGCAAAAUCAGAAGAAGCUUAAGUCAGAGAAGGCUCAUCUUGGCAAUCAGCUUCAGUAUUUGCAUCAGAGAAAGGUAUAUUAGGUGGUGCAGUAUCAGCAAAAUCAGCAUCAUCAACGUGAAUAUCCUCUAAAGGAACAUCAGUACCAACUUCAUUAUCUGUGCAGAAAACAACAUUCCCUUAUGUUUAAGAGCCUCUUACCUGGUAUGUACUGUCAUGUCCCUAACCGGGGAAAGAAUUUAGAAUUGUGUUAUGGAUUUAUCUCAAAUAGCUAGUAAAUUCAUUCUCUUAGCCCAGGCCUUUUUAUUUAAGGGCAUCUCGCCUUAAGGAGGUGGGUUAUCUUAAGUUCUAAAAGAAAGAGGGAAUGAGUUCAGCUGCAAGUAAAGUUCACGCCUUCUGGUAAAGGUAGGUCGGGGAAUGCCAUCAAGCAACCAAUUCUUUCUUUUCUUCAGCCAUUAAGGAAAAAAGCAGAAAGUAUUUCACUUAAGACAGCCAAAAAGUAUAGAUUGUAAGAAAGAAGCCCAUGGGGGUGAUAUCGAUAUAAUCCAUAAGUCUUUCUCUAUGACAGUCAUUUUUUACUAUUAACUGACGCUAUUUUUUUCUCUAUCCAAAUCCUUUGGUUAAGGAGGCUUCCCCCUCUACUCUGCUCUUUAUAACAGUGAAAGAGCACCCAGAGUCUUGUGUUUUCUUUUAAAAAACUCAUAGAAUAAGGAAUUUAGGUUUACUGUCAAUCCCUUUCUUUUUUCUUCACACUAUAGCUGCGCAUUCUUUGUUAUUACUAUGGGGUCCCGAAGCACAAGGGGAUUUUCCUCGUUGGUUCCAAUUAGGUGGUUUGUUGACUUUUGUUGCUCUCCAUGGAGCUUUUGGACUAAUCGAUUUUAUGUUACAUCAAUUUGAACUUGCUCGAUCCGUACAAUUGCGGCCUUAUAAUGCAAUUGCAUUCUUUGGUCCAAUUGUUGUUUUUUUUUCUAUAUUCCUGAUUUAUUCACUAGGUCAGUCUGGUUGGUUUUUUGCGCCUAGUUUUGGUUUAGCAUCUAUUUUUCGAUUUAUUCUUUUUUCCCAAGGGUUUCAUAACUGGACAUUGAACCCCUUUCAUAUGAUGGGAGUUGCCGGUGUAUUGGGUGCUGCUCUGCUAUAUGCUAUUCAUGGUGCUACUGUAGAAAAUACUUUAUUUGAAAAUGGUGAUGGUGCAAAUACAUUCCGUGCUUUUAACCCAACUCUAGCUGAAGAAACUUAUUCAAUGGUUACCGCUGACUGCUUUUGGUCUCAAAUCUUUGGGUUGAUCUUUCCAAUAAACGUUGGUUACAUUUCUUUAUCUUAUUUGUAUUAGUAACUGGUUUAUGGAUGAGUGCUCUUGGAGAAGUCAGUCUGGCUCUGAAUCUACGUGUCUAUGAGUUCGAUUCUUAGGAAAUCCGUACAUCGGCAGAUCCUGAAUUUAAGACUUUCUAUACUAAAAAUAUUCUCUUAAACGAAGGUAUUCGUGCUUGGAUGGUGGCUCAAGAUCAUCCUCAUGAAAACCUUAUAUUUCCAAAGGAUUAUUACCAUGUGGAAACGCUCUUUAAUGGAACUUUCUCUUUAGCCAGGGUCGUGAUCAAGAUGCCGAUUUUGCUUGGUAGGCGGGGAAUGCCCGACAACUCAAUUUAUCCGAGAAACUAUAGGGAGCUCAUGCUGGAUUAAUCAUAUUCUAGGCCGGAGCAAUGAACCUAUUUGAAGUAGCUCAUUUGGUACCGAAGAAGCCAAUGUAUGAACAAGGAUUCAUUUUACUUCACCAUCUAGCUACUCUAGGUUGGGGGGUAGGUCCUGGUGGGGAAGUUAGAGACAUUUUUCCAUAUUUUGUAUCUAGCAUACUUCACUUAAUUUCAUCUGCAGUAUUGGGCUUUGGUGGUAUUUAUCAUGUACUUUUGGGUCCUGAGACUCUUGAAGAAUCUUUUCCAUUUUUUGGAUAUUUACUAAAAUCCCCCUUUGGAGGGGAAGGAUGGAUUGUUAGUGUGGACGAUUUAGAAAAUAUAAUUGGACGGCACAUAUGGUUAGGUUCCAUUUGUAUACUUGGGGAAAUCUGACAUAUCUUAACCAAACCCUUUGCGCGGGCUCGCCGUGCGGUGCGCUUGUAUGGUCUAGAGAGGCUUACUUGUCUUAUAGUUUAUUUGAGUGCUUUAUCUGUUUUUGGUUUCAUUGCUUGUUGCUUUGUCUGGUUCAAUAAUACUGCGUAUCCUACUGAAUUUUAUGGGCCUACUGGACCAGAAGCUUCUCAAGCUCAAGCAUUUACUUUUCUAGUUAGAGACCAAUGGCUUGAGGCUCUUCUUCUCUCUUUUGUUAAUGAGUAUAGUACAUAUCGAUUGAUUACAUCGUUAAUUACAAGAAGUUGCUUGUUCAAGAAACCAAUCGAAUCGUCAUCAGGACGAUGUGAAUGAGCCUUAUUUGCAAAUGAUAUCAAUUUUCAAUCAAUCUGGUUGUAAGGCUAUAAAGGCCAUAAGUCGUCGGCUCACUCCAACAGAGCGCAAAUCAGCAACUUUGUAUGUCUUGCUGAAUUGCCCAGAAAUUGAACCCUUUCUAAAGUAAGGAGAUUGGAAUUUUAACAUAUCUUAUUUGUUUACUCAUUCCUUUAAAGAAACUAAUUGUGUUUCGCAUUUUGGAUCUUCAGUUCAUUUAAGACUCAAUUCUACGAAGAUCAAGUGUAUGCAUCCUUUACAACAUGAUUUAAAAAUGAGGUUCAUAAGUGUAUUAAUAUUUAUAUAAAGUUUUAACAUUUACACAUUUCUCAACUAAUAUAUAUAUAUAUAUAUAUAUAUAUCUAUAUCUAUAUGUAUGCAUGUAUGUAUGUAUGUAUGUGUGUAUAAUAUUUUUAGGUACACCAUUUCCCAAAUACAUCCGCAUACGAUCAGCUCUUAAGAGAUAUUUUUUUUGGGUCCAGUUGAAGCUCAUGCAAUGUCCCAAUACAAAGUAAAUGAGUUUAAAUUUUCCAGCGAACAAAACUCCAGAACAAGGAAAACAAACAAUAUGGUGUUUGGGUUAAGGGUGAUGAUGAUGUUGAUUACUUUGGCAUCAUACACGAGAUCUUAGAAUUAGAGUAUGCUUGUUUCCCAAUAAAAAAAAUUGUCCUCUUUCGAUGCAUGUGGUUUGAUCUAAGCGCAAGAGGCCCAAGAGUACAUAAGGAGUAUAACAGCAUUGAAGUGAAGCAUAAUAGGCCGUAUCCUAUUUACGAUCCAUUUGUUCUAGCGAAAAUGCUAAACAAGUGUAUUAUGCUCCUUAUCCGUUGCGCAAUGACAAGUCUAAUUGGUGGGCUACAAUCAAAACAAAGACUAUUAGAUGGGUGGAAGUUGAGAAUGUGCCGGAGACUGUGUAUCAGAAUGAAAUACAGAUUGAUCACCAGUUUUUGGACGUUGACUCAGUGGAUAGUUUGAAUCACCCGAAAAAUAUAUUUGAAGAAGUUAAUAUUAUGGAAGAAGAGGCUUAGUGGGUAGGAGAUGAGGAAAACUCCAAAGAGGGUGAAUAGUUUAGUGGAGAGUCUUCAAAAGAGGAGGAUUAGUUGUGUAGGUUGUAUUAAUUACGUAUUGAUGUAUUUAUGCUUUGUAUUAUAUAUUUACCUUUAUGUUUCUUUUUUAAGAAUGAUGUGUAAUAUACUGUUUAAUCUAAGAUUGUUGUUUUCACUUUCACUUUUUUCACUAAAGUGAAAUAAUUUUUUGGGAAAAAGGAAAAAGUUUAUAUGGACAAACGGCUACUAAAUCAAUUAAAUUUGAAUUUAGAAAGAUGUGAAAAAAAUCUACAAAUAAAUAUGAAAGAGUUAGAAUAGGAAAAAUAUAAGCAAAGAGUUAGAAUAAGAAAAAUAUAAGCAGUAUCAAAUUUUUUAAAGUUUUAAGUAAGUAAUGAAAGAUUUUCUAAAAAUUUAACUUUAAAAAUAAGGAAAUAUUUUAAAUAUAUAUAUAAAAAAAUAAUCGUAUUACAAAUAGGGUUCAAGUCGAUGCAUUUUUCUUAGCCUCUAGCAACGAGUAAAAAGGUUACUACAUGACAAAUGCAAAAGUGAUAUUCAAUGAAACUUCUGGUGGUGUAUAUAUAUAUACACACACACACACCAACAACAACAAACCCAGUGUAAUCCCACCAAGUGGGGUCUGGGAAGGGUAAAAUAUAUGCAGUCCAUACCGCUACCUUCGAAGAAGUAGAGAGGUUGUUUCCGACAUAUAUAUAUAUAUGUGUGUGUGUGUACAUAUAUAUUCUUAUUAUAAGAUAUAUGUUAUAUUCACAUUAUUAUAUUAAAGUCCUUUUCAUUAAAAACCAAAUAAUUAUUAGCUGUUUAGCCUCAAAUUUGAAUGCCGAUCACGUCGAAGAUUAUUCCACAUGCGAUCGGCAUUAUCAUUUUACGAGGCAUUUAUCGACAUGAAAACUUGUGGUCAUCAUCUUUGUCUAGGCAGCAGAAAUAUUUUUUGAAUAUCCUGUUUUCCUCCAAUUUCUGCUAUCUUUGGCUUGUCUUAAUUUGUUCUUCUUGUUUUUACUUUUCCUUAUUCUUCUUUCUUUGUUAUUGUUUGGUGGAUUAUCGUAAUGAGUUAGUUUCGGGGCUGGAUCCAGAUCUUCUUAUCAUUCUGGAAAUGGAGUUAGAGUUGGAAGCGGUGGAUUUUUUGGUCCAUGUGCUAAUAAUCGGCCAUUUAACCAAGAUCAUUAUUUAGAGAAAGACCCUACGGGUCGAUAUGUUCGGGUAAUUAACUUUACUCUCUAUUAUUUUUGGUGUUACUUCUUCUUUAUGCCUUAAAAUUUUGGACAUUGCUUUAUUUCUACAGUGUUAUUGGAAUGCAACCGUUCCAAAAUUAAGGAUUUAUAUUGUCAUCGGAAUAUAGCCCAAUUGUUUACGUUAGUUUAUGCUUAAAUGUUUGUUUUCUUGUUCUUUUUUUAUAAAUUAUGUCUAGUUGCAAAAUCAAACUGAUUUCCCGUUUUAGCUUAUAUAACACAUUAUACUCAACAUAGAUGCUUUGAGGUGGUCUUAGCGCAAAGGUGAACAAAAGUAUAUUACACCGCUCAUAAGUCAUUUCUUCUUUAAGUUGAUUUGAAUUUUUGGUCCUUCUGCAUAAUUGUUAAGCCAUAAACAUAAUUAUGUUGGGUUCAAUUGGUGUGAAUGGAAAAUAGAGGGACACAACCUUUGAGGAAAAGACAUAUUGUUUUGGAAAAGGAGUGACUGUUCGAAUAGUUGUGUUUGUUCAGAAAAAGACACAAUGUUUCAAAUGAACAGACAUGACUCUUCCAAAAGAUACACCUUUUCGGAUGAACCACUGCCACCUUUCAUAAGGGACACUUGAUGGCUAUAUAAAUCUGCAUUUAUCCAUAGGUUUAGGUACGAAAAUUUUUCUGCAAUAAAACUCUUCUUGUAUCCUGAAAAUAUACUUCGUGUGAUCAUCAAAUCGUAGAGUGAGUUUAAAGAGAUUCCAAUUGUUUGAGGUACCGCUAAAGUUGGUUUGUUUGGCCAUUUUCUCCUGGGAGGAAAAUUCCGCAACCUCGAGUACUUGAGGAGAAUUAUUUCUUUAAGGACACUCCGUGAAUUCGGAGGACUUGACCAUUUCUGUUUCAUCUAAUUAAAUUUCUCGAAAAAAAAAACACACACUUCUUUGAAAGAUCUUUUUGUGUUAUUUAUUUCAAUGUAUUCGGGUAUAAGAAUCUGUAAUUUGAUACAAUAACUUCAACACUAGUUCAAGUUUAAAAUAAGAAUACUAUAAAGUACAAAAACACCCUCAACACAAGAUCAAAGUCAUCUUUCUAAGAAGUGUAUUUUAUUUUCCAGAAAUUAAGAUGAAACAAAAAUGUAAAGCCAAGUCCCCCGACUUCACGGAGUGUCUUUAAGGAAUAAUUCCCCUCACUGUACCCGAGUUUUGGAAUCUUCCUCCCAUGAUAAAAUGACUUUCAAUACAACUAUAGUGAUACCUCAAAUAAUUAUAUUCAACGAACUCACUUAACAAUUUGAUUGAUCACACAGAAUGUCUUUGAAGACAAGAAGAGAGUUUGUAUUUCAGAAAACUCGUGUCUAAACCUGUGGAUGAAAGCAACAGGUUUAUAUAUCCUAUCAGAUGUCUCUUCAAAAAGGUGGCAAUGGUUCACUUAAAAAGGUGUGAUCUUUCUGGAAAUUCAUGUCUGUUCAUCCAAAGAAUAUGUCUUUUUCGAACAGGCAUACCAUUUCACUCAAAACAGUGUGUCAUUUCAUUGACGGGUUGCAUCCCUUCCGAAGCAUCACUUCGUUUCUGCAUUGCAUUUCGAAACAAUAUCAACCAUUGCAUGCAUGCAUAUCAAUGGAGGAUAAAAAACACAGAAAAGUUGCGUUUUUCCCUUUGGUAUUUCCGGAUUAAAUUUCUGUCAAAUAAACUUUGUCCAAAAAGAUAGAUCUCAUCGAUCAUUUUCCAAAGCCAAAGCCGAGCGAGCGACUAUGGCGGUGCGAGACAUCUCUUAUAUUUCCAAAGUGUUAUUUCACUGACAAUUAUUUAUAUUUAUCAACUGCUCGUGUUUCCUCUACAGUUUGGGCAAGGGUGCAUUCAAGACUGUGUAUGUUCCUAAACUUAAUUGCUGGUUUUUUAUUGUUCCUUUCUAUAGCACUAAUUGUGUAUUCAGAGCAUAAAGCAUUUUGUCUUUUUUUUAAAAAAAAAAUGUGUUUCAGCUACAAGGCAUUUGACUUACAUGAUGGUAUUGAAGGCGCAUGGAGCCGAGUGAAAGUGGAGGACGUUUUGCAGUCACCUGACAAGUUGAGAAAGUUAUAUGCAGAAAUGUAUCUUCUUAGAAAAUUGAAGCAUGGCAAUAUAAUGAAGUUCUGUGAUUCAUGGGUUGAUGACAAGAAGAGAACAGUUAACAUGAUCACUGAACUCUUCACAUUUGGGAACUUGAGGCAGUGAGUUUCUCAUAGUUCCUCAUUUUCUUUGUUUACAAAUUGUGUUGUCAUACAAUAAAUAUUUAAAUUGUACUUAUCAGAUACCGCAAGAAGUAUAGAAGUGUUGAUACAAAGGCAAUAAAGAAUUGGGUAAGCAGGUACUUCAAGGGUUAGGUUAUCUUCACAGUUACAACCCUCCUAUCAUUCAUAGGGACUUGAAGUGUGACAACAUAUUUGUCAAUGGAAAUACUGGAGAAAUUAAGAUUGGGGACUUUGGAUUGGCUACCAUUAUGGAGCAGCCUACUUUUAAGAGUAUUGUUACAGAUACUUCUUGUAUCGACAUAUAUUGAAAUAAUGCCCCCUCUUCUAAAACACCAACUUUAUCUAUUCCUCUGAAGGGACCCCGGAAUUUAUGGCCCUAGAGUUUUACAAAGAAGAAUACAAUGAACUGGUUGACAUAUAUUCCUUCAGCAUGUGUAUGUUGGAACUAGUAACCUUUGAAGAUCCUUACAGUGAAUGCAAAAAUCCUACUCAAAUUUUUAAGAAAGUUAGCUCGGUAAGUUUGAUAAAUUUUUAAGUUGUGUAGGCAUUACAUGUUUUAGUAAAUCGAAGCAACUUUAUUUAUUCUCAGGGUGUUAAACCUGCUUCUCUCGGCAAAGUUACUGAUCCCAAAUCAAAGCAUUCAUCGAGAAAUGCCUGUUCCUGCUUCGCUGAGGUUGCCUGCCAAGGACCUUCUCAAAGAUCCAUUUCUUCAGACUGAGAACUUAAAUGAGCCAACCCAUAGUCUGUUUCUAGCUUUCACCUUACCAAAGUCCAAGAUCAUUAAGUUCAUGGAAAUCUGCACCUCAUUCAAUGGAUUUAGAUCCCGAGUAUAAUCAAUCAGUUUAUACAGACUCCCAUUGUGGUAGUCCUUGUGCUCCGACAUUGGAAUUUCAGAGGUUUCAUCAGAAUAAUGAAUUUAAAUUGACAUGUAAGAAAAAAGAUGAGAACUCAGUUUCAUUGACCUUGCGAAUUAAAAGCCCUUCAGGUAUGUAGAUGCGUUCUAAUUCAUUAUUAUUUUUAUUCUUUUGGCAUUUUGGAAUAAAAUUGUCUCUUUGUUUAUUUAAAGCCUUCAAAUUUUUCAGGCAGAGUAAGGAAUAUACACUUCAAUUUUUAUGUUUAUACUGACACUGCACUCUUAGUUGCGGCUGAGAUGGUUGAACACUUGGAACUAGCUGAUCAUGAUGUAGAUUUUAUUGCUGACUUCAUUGAUUAUCUAAUAAUGAAAAUUUUACCUAGUUGGAAGCCUUCUGAUUAUUUUUCUAGUGGAGGGAGAAGUCAAAGAGAAGAAGCUAUAGAGAAUUACCUAACCUUGUCGCCCAUCACUACCACAUCUAAUGCUCGAAAAAGAUGAUAUUACAGUUCUCAAUAUGAAUAACCAAAUUGGUAGUACUCAUCGAUCUGAUGAAGAUAAAUUGUGUACAAAUUCAAGUAGCACUUCUUGUCACGUUACUUUUGUUUCCCCAUCACAUUUGGCAAAUAUGUGAUAGAUGGAGAGUGUCAAGGUUCAGCUGCUACUGAAGUUUUGGAAAAAUAUUGUUUUAACUACUGAUCCAAGCUCAAAGUAUGAUCUCAAGAUAUGAUACACACUAUACAGAACCACACUACACUAACUGUUCCAUUGGAUGGAAGGUUUUGGAAGCUUCUCGAUUGUUAGUCAGUUAGUAAUAACAAGUUGUUAAGAGGUUGUUAGGCAAGUGGUUAGUCAGUUAUGAUGAGCUUUCACUAAGCUCGAAAUGAGCUUACUAUCUUAGCUCAAGUAUAUAAAUAGCUGCAAUGCUGUAAUGUACAGAUGAUGAAGAAUAAAAUUCCCAACUACACUCUCUCCUUUCUUCUUCCUUGUUCAUGGAUUAUCAAGCUGUAAUGCUUGAAUUUCACAUGGUAUCAGAGAAACGAGCUCAAUACUGAGAGUAUUUCGAUCCUUUUUUCUCAUAUUCUCAGAGAAUUCUUAAGACCUCUGUAUGUACUUUGUUUUUUUGUUCUUUUAUCUCUGCAAGUUUGGUCGAUUUUGCAGUUCAAUUUCUUCAUUCAUGGAACCUAAAAUUGAUCAAAGUGAUCCACUCUUCAUUGGUGCUUUGGAUAGUUCAAGCACUGUACUCGUUCCAAUCAAAUUAACUAGUUUAGAAAACUAUAGUCUUUGAAGUCGAUCUAUGUGAAUUGCUCUCUUAGGGAAGAGAAAGUAUGGCUUUUUCACUGGAUCUUGCAACAUGGAUUCAUACAGAGAGGAACUCCAUGAACAGUGGGAAAGAUGCAAUGCUAUUGUCCUCUCAUGGAUCAUGAACACUAUGAGUGAAAGCUUACUAUCUGGGAUCGUGUAUGCUACAAAUGCUUGUGUUGUCUGGGAUGAUUUGAAAGAAAGAUAUGACAAAGUGAAUCAUAUUCGCAUAUAUCAAUUGCAUCGUGAAAUCAGUAUGCAUUGUCAAGGUACUAAUUCAAUCUCAGCUUAUUUUACUAAGUUGAAAACCUUGUGGAGUGAGUAUGAUGUUCUGGUUCCUAAUCCUAGCUGUGAUUGCCCUAAGUCCAAAGAGUACUCAGAUCAUAUGUGUCAACUGAGACUUCUACAAUUUUUGAGUGGCUUUAAUAAGUCCUACGAUCAAUCUAGGAGACAAAUCUUACUCAAGGGAGUAACUCCUACUCUCAAUCAAGAUUAUGCCAUGCUUAUAGAGGAUGAGAUACAACACUCAACAUGUAUGCCUGUUGUGCACGAUAGAUCAGAACCUCUUGCUAUGCAGGUGAAUCAUAAUUAUGAUUAUGGACAAGGGAACACAAAUUACAAGAGUAGAAAGUAUGACUACUGUCACCUCUCAGGUCAUACAAAAUAAAAUAGCUACAAAUUGAUAGGGUAUCCAAAUGAUUGGAAGAACAAGAAGUAACAAGGUUAUACUCCUCCAAAUUUCAGGUCACAUAAUGUUGGUGGUAACAAUUUCUCACCACAUAAUAGGGGUAACAACUAUACUAGCACUGGUAGCAAGUCUUCCCAAACUGCAAGCAUGGUAGUAGGACCAGGUGAUGCUACCAGCUCCAGUCAUAAUGUGAAUUGUGCAUCAUUGGCAAAACCUCAUACAUUCACAGAUGAAUAGUACACUCAAAUCAUGAACAUAUUGAACAAGGAUACUAAGGAUAUGAAACAAGUCAAUAUGACAGGUAUUACCACUUUUUUUUAUUCGAGGCUUGUUCUGACAGUUGGAUUGUAGAUUCAGGAGCUACACAUUAUGUGUCUGCCUAUAGACACUUAUUCAAAGAUAGCUCCAGCCUGGUUCCAAGACACUUUGACAAAUUGCACCUUCCAAUAAGUGAUGAAGUCACAAUUUCCCACACUGGAGAAGCCUAUAUGUUUACAGAUGAUGUGAUCAAAGAUGUCCUCUUUGUUCCAGAUUUUAGACUAAAUUUGUUGUUUGUUGCUAAGAUAACCAAGGAACUGUCGUGCUUUGUGUCCUUUUAUCCUGAUUCUGUGUAUUUCAGGACCUCUUCAAUGGAAAGGUGAAGGGGAUUGGUAGAUAAGAGGGUGGAUUGUAUGUUCUUAAAGGAGAAUGGAAAGAUAAUUGUUAUACCCAUUUUAACACGGGUCAAAAUAGUGUACAACAUAUUGGAAAACUUCGGAGUUAAAUUUAAGGAAGUCGCCACCUAAUUAGUUCUACAGUGAAUUAGGACACCUAUUACAAACUACGUGAUUAAAAUAAAUAAUGACUUCAUUUUAAGGUCUACAAAACCUAAAUUCUAGGUAAGGAUUCUAUUUAUCCUAAAGGUAAGGGAUUAGGCACCCUAAAGGAUCCACUAACUACGGUUAACCGGCCAAACUUAGAUUAGAUAAGAAAAUCAAAUAUUAAAUUAAGAAAAUAUAUAUAAGGCAUUAAAAAUUAUUAUUUUUUUUGUCUUUUAUAAGAUAAUAUAUGCUAAUUAUAAAUAUUAGAAAAUAUUUUAGAACAUCCUCGCAAUAAAUAAAAAUAAAAUAAAAUAAAGCUUUUAACUAAAAAUAAAUAAAAAUUUAUUCUAAAGGAUGCCCCUUCUGUUUUUUUUUAUUUAUCAAAUUUUAUAAAAUAAUAAGUCACUUACCUUACUCUACAUGAAUAGAUAAAUUAUAUAGUUGUUUAAACGUAUAAUGACUUGAGAAUUUAUUAUUUAUUAUGAUAAAAUAUUUUUUUUGUUAUUAGGAAUACCUAAAAGGGACUUGCGAAAUGUCAUUUUUUAUUAAAAAUAAACUUUGAUUUGCGGUAUCUAAAAUUAGUAAAACUGGUUUUCCAAAUUAGCAAUAAUACGCCUAUCUACCACAAAUUUAUAUUUAAAGGAUUUUCAAAUUAUUACCUAAUAAGAAACUAACAUUAUUCUAAAGAUAAGCUACUAUUUCGUAUUAAAGAAGUAUUAAAAGGAUUCUAACAAACUUGGUCAUUAUUCUAAAGAUAUCUUUAAACCUAGAAAUUUUAAAACUUUUAAUGAUGUAAAUUAAAUGUCGAAGUUUAGUUAUCAUGCAAUGUCUAAAAUCUAAUGGGCGAAGAGGGAACGAUAAAAAUUCGCUACACGAAAUCACAUAAGAACAUAUAAGAACACAACUUUUAAAUAAUAGUGCACGAAAUAUUAAAUAAAGAAAAGAAAUAAUAAUAACAGGUUUCUACAGAAGAAGAGUAAAGCUUGAAAAGAGGGAAGGAGGCACUAGACUGCUAGAAGGAGAUACNNNNNNNNNNNNNNNNNNNNNNNNNNNNNNNNNNNNNNNNNNNNNNNNNNNNNNNNNNNNNNNNNNNNNNNNNNNNNNNNNNNNNNNNNNNNNNNNNNNNNNNNNNNNNNAGCAAUAAUACGCCUAUCUACCACAAAUUUAUAUUUAAAGGAUUUUCAAAUUAUUACCUAAUAAGAAACUAACAUUAUUCUAAAGAUAAGCUACUAUUUCGUAUUAAAGAAGUAUUAAAAGGAUUCUAACAAACUUGGUCAUUAUUCUAAAGAUAUCUUUAAACCUAGAAAUUUUAAAACUUUUAAUGAUGUAAAUUAAAUGUCGAAGUUUAGUUAUCAUGCAAUGUCUAAAAUCUAAUGGGCGAAGAGGGAACGAUAAAAAUUCGCUACACGAAAUCACAUAAGAACAUAUAAGAACACAACUUUUAAAUAAUAGUGCACGAAAUAUUAAAUAAAGAAAAGAAAUAAUAAUAACAGGUUUCUACAGAAGAAGAGUAAAGCUUGAAAAGAGGGAAGGAGACACUAGACUGUUAGAAGGAGAUACAUAAUGCAAUUUGCUCGCUUCUCUGAUUUGAACAGAGAUGGAGUCAUGCCAUGAAACUCCAAACGCACUCCCGAGUGUAUAUGAAAAAAUAAGAAAAAUAAAGAUUAGGAGCCAAACUAAUUGUAAGGAAAAUGAACGGAAAGAAAUACUUGCCACAUGAAUGUUCGAAUAUUAAAUUUGAAUGAAACCGCGAAAAUAAAUCAGCAUAUACCUAUUAGGAACAAACAUUUGAGAAUAAAUACUUUGGGAUGUAAACAGCUUUUGUCUCACAUAACAGGCAACUCAAUCCAAAUGAACAUGAAAAAAAAGUAAAUUAACAAGACUUCUAAUAAUUCAUCGGGGGAAAACAUACACUUAAUCCUUGUCAAGGAACACGUGAACCAGCCUCAUAAAAAAAACCUUAUAUCAUAAUAUUCAAACCUGUUAUCCGUCAAACUCCACAACAACAACAACAACAACAAAAAAUCCAUUGUAUUCCCACAGUGAUAAACAUAAUGAGUUUUGGACAAAAUCAAAUAAAAUACCCUUUCCUUUAAAAACCUUUCAUAGCAUAACUUUUAAUAGAACAUUUUUCCUUAUAUCUCCUAACAUUUUAUAACAAUAUAAUAAUACUUUAAUUAAGUGUAAUCCUUUCUCAUUAAAUAUUUCAAAUAAAGAAGAACAAUAGUUUACGGCAAAG